AUAUAAUUAUCCAUAUAUUGUUCAUAUGUGUAGAUAUAAGUCCAUAUAUCUAGAUAUAAAUCCAUAUAUCUUGCACAAACAACCUCGUUCAAACAUUUCACUUCAUUUUCCUCAUUUCUAUGAACCCUAACAUCCGUCACCUCAAAUCCUCAACCCUCUCUGAUGGCGGUGCCGCUUCAAAUCGGUUCCAAAUUAACACAACACACUCCCUAUAAUCCCUCAAACACUAAAUCACCAUUAAUUUUUCUGAAAUCCUCUCUGUUUUUCCAUAAUAUCAGAUUUUAAGAUGGAAUCCUAAUUCCUUCCUCGCCUCUGAUUCAUCAUGCAAGAGUCUUGUUUGAUUUUCUCCAAGCUUUGAAGAGAUUUAGACUUGAAAAAAAGUGUUAGACGGGUUGUUCUCACAAGAACAACCGGAAUAACACUCAUUUUGGGCUCGAAUAAAAAACUGUCGAUUAAUCCAUUCAAAUCCAUCGUCCAUUUGUCCCUUUCAGGUAUUUUAGGUCCUUUGGUUUUCGUUGUAAUUUCAUUCCCAGCUUCGUCUUGAUUCUUUUCUUUUUCUGAUUUUUCUGUUUUUCACACCAUGCCUGUUAAAUUUAGUUUAUUUUUCUUUCAGUUAGCAUUUAUCUUAGUUUGUGUGAGAUUUUGUUUAAAUUCCCUUCCUAUUUUUGUUUUGAUUGAAAUCCUUGGGUCCAAGAGUUCGUGUAACUCUGGUUGCCCAUUUGUUGAAUUUCUCUUUUGGGUUCUUAAUCGAUUAAUUGGGCUUUGUUAGAUAGAGGUCCAAAGAGAGAGGAAUUAAGCCGGGCUGCAAACCUAAAUUGAGUUUUGAUUAUUGGGUCAAUUUGACCCACGUCAAGUUCUCAGGGUAAAUAACAUAGGUUUAAAGGUUAAUUUAGGAAUUUUAGGUAAAAGAAUCUUCAAUAACUAAUUUAGGAAGCUGCUAGAAAGGUGGGUUGGGGACUUAUUUUCAAAACAGAUUUUUGAAUUAAGGACCACGUAGCAAAAACAAAAAUUCAAAAAGGAUUAAUAGACAAAGUCUAAAUCAUUUUAUGCUGCCCUAGAGCUUCUCUAUAAAAGGCCCUUACUUCUUAAUCAAGUUAGAUUUUUUGGGUGAAUUUUAGAGACUGAAAAAUGGCUAAGUAUGAAAACUCUUAAAGAACACUGAAAUUCCUGCAUUUCUUUGGUCAACAAUUGGCUUAGUUCUGCCUGAAAGCUUCCUAGUUAAUCCGAGUAUUGAGACUCCAUAUUGGUUUUCAUCUGGGUUCCUAUUUAGUUUGAAGAAGCUGGAUUUUGUUUGAUAUUGAUGGUUUUAAGUUGUAUCUGUUGUUGUUGUUAACUCCUUGUUUUUUCUAUUUCUAACCGGGUAAUUUACAAAUUAUUCACAACAAGUGAAUGUGAACAUGUAUUUCGAGUUGAAACCAGAUUGAAUACAAGCUGUGUUUGAGUUCUGUUGUCUUUGGUUCUUCCAUUUUUAGUGUUUUUUAAUAACUUAAUUUUAAGCAUGUUAUGCUAGUUUUUCUCAUGUUGUGAAUAUAGUUAAUUGAAUUAUUGUUGUUCCUUUGUUUAUGAUGUUGCUUGAAGAUCUGAUGUAAUGUCUUAUAUUCAAGUUAGUUUUAUGUUAAUCCUAUGAGAUUUUGCUACUGUUUUGCAUUAGAAGAGGGUUCAACUGAGAUUCAAGCUCCAUAGUUCUAAGUCGAAUGAAGAAAUCUUCUUGCUAGUUUCUGCUCAUAUGCAUUCACGUUGGUAUCGAAUGUAUGGCUAUAAUUUAUUUUUAGCUGGUCUUUAUUGUUGCUUUAUUUAGAUUUUGGUUUGGGUAUUCGAACAAGUUCAGUAGCGUGUUGAUGUAUUUUGACUUCCAGUUUGAUGAUUUAGAGUAUCUGUAGUAAGAAUCAUUGUGUAUGAAUGCAUGACAUUAAUUCCUGUAUAUUUCUACUUUAUGCACAAUUGCAACAUAAUUAGCUAAUGUGUUUCUUGUUUAUUUUGCCAAAACCUGUGUAAGGUGAAUAAAGCUUGAGCCAUCGAAGAGGCAGCUUAGAGCCAAAGGCUCUUGUGGAUCGAAUGUCCCUUUACUCUGAAGGGGACUCGACCUUGGGUCUUGUCCCUGUUCCCGCUCCUCUCUUCACCAACUUUGGGCUGAUUUUUGGCCUGUGCU
rnacentral:lncRNA from 1 species